UCCUCCAUUCCCCUUCACUAAUCUGCUCCUGCAUUUCUUGCCCAGAUCCCAAACCCACCUCUGCCGUUACCAAUUCACGUCGUCGUCAUAUCAUUCUCCUCUUAAUUUUCCAGAACUUAUGUAAAAAAUUGCCCCCCGAAUCCUUUUUUCGGAAUUUUUGAAUUGUAUGUAUCUUGUUUAUUGUUCUUGGUCAAUCCCACUAAGAUGGAAUUUUGCAUGAAUUUUGCACUGUAUUUGUUAUUUUGUCAAUAGAGUAUGCUAGCGGUCAGUGAGGAAUGUGAAUAUGCAAUAGCAUCUCUCGAUCUCUCCUUUUGCGCUGUCUUCACAGUGACAGAGUUACCACCCUUGGAUCUUUUACAUUCUUUUCUCUCAUGUUGUUCGUACAUGUUUGUCCCAUAGCAAUUGACACCACCGCAAAGAAUAUGCUUACGCACCGCCCUGUCCUCUUGAUUCUUCUCCCCCGUUCUGUUCUCUUUCACCUUUUUCUUUUUUCUUCUAAUUACCAUUCGCCUUUUCCUUCUUUUCUGAAUUGCCUUUCAAAAAGCAACAACUUUUACACGGUGCUCCACCAAAUUUGCUCUUGUAUUAAUAUUACGCGUUCACAAAUCAUCAAAGCAAGAAAGUUCCCAACCCGAAUAGAUCACGCAUGAGUGCAUGAGUGUGCUGUCAACUUUUGAUGUAAUCCUUGCUGUCCAUCUCAAAAUGUCUUCUUGCACACGACAAGCAUCAUGAUGAAAUUCCAUAAAGAUGGUGAAGCAUCUUGUUCCAAUGGACCCGAAACAUAAAGCUGUAGACGCACGGAUCAUAAUUUUAGUCUAGGUUUCUACUUACAAAUACCAUACUAACAAUUAGCUCUCUUGCAGGCAGUUUCAUGGUUAGCCAUUUCCCUUUGGCCAGCUAUUUCCCUUCCAGUUCUUACCAUUUUUCUCCUCUUGAGCAACUUUGGUGCUUCCAUUUGUGAGGUUGCCAAUGAUGCCAUAGUAGCAGAGGCUGGGAAGCAAGUGACCUCUUCCUCAGGGUCAAGUCAGCUUCAAUCCUUUGCUUGGAUGUUUGGCUCCUCUGCUGGUGCUUUAGGAAAUCUCCUUGGUGGCGUUGCUCUCAGUUAUUUUUCUCCCAAAAUCAUGUUUCUGUUUUUUGCAAUCCUUCUCGUGAUCCAGUUCUUCACAACUGUGGCUAUACCUGAGAGCUCCCUCAGACUCCCAAAGGCAGCUACCAAUCUAUCGGCACUCACCAGCAUCCGUAAGCAAGUCAAAGAGCUGUCAUGUGCCCUGUGUAUGCCUGAAAUGUUUUGGUCAAUCAUAUGGUUUACAUUAUCGUACACUGUCAUACCUUUUCUACUUGGGACCAUGUUCUUCUAUUAGACUGAAGUGUUAAGACUAGACUCAUCAGUUAUCGGCUUAUCAAAGGUGUUUGGGCAAGUGGCACUCUUGGCCUGGAGCAUGUCAUACAACAAAUACUUCAAAACAAUGUCUGCCCGUAAGGUCCUAUCAGUUCUGCAGUUUGCCUUAGCACUCGUAAUGUUGUCGGAUGUGUUGUUCGUUCAGGGAAUAUACAGGAAGAUCAGAAUACCAGACUCCAUAUACACAAUUAUCUUCUCCGGGUUGUUUGAGGGUCUUAUGUUUUUCAAGGUGCUACCCUUCAGUGUCCAUAUUGCAAAACUUUGCCCUGCUGGUUGUGAGGGAUCAGUAAUGGCCUUCGUUAUGUCUGCACUUGCCCUUGCCACUAUCGUCAGUGGCUAUCUUGGAGUUGUUCUUGCUGCUUUCAUGGGAGUAUCUGGAGAUGAUUUUUCGGCACUGCCUGCUUGCCUGUUGAUUGAAGCUGCAUGCACAAUGCUACCAUUGUGUUGCUCGUCAUUGAUCAAAGAGAGAAGAGAAAAGGAGAAGAAAAAAGAAUAGACUACAUAUAUAUAUCAUCUGGAGGUGGUGUAAUGGUGACUGUCGGGCUUUACCCUAACCUUUUUUGGCCAGUUCAAUUCUAUAAAGUCAUCACCUCCGGAAGAAAGAAAAUAGAAGAUUCGAUCCAUCAGGUGCUAAAUCCUCUAAGGCUUCACCAGAACUAUCGUCUAGCAAAGAGCUUAUAUGUACAUACAAGUUAGCUGCCAUUCUUCUACAGAUCAAUUAUUACUUUUAUGUAACUAGUUUUCAUACGUUGUUUAAUGUACCUUGGUUUGCUUGUUACAUGUGUUCUACAUGGACAGUUCGAUUUGCAUAUGUUGCGCCAAUACCAAUGUUUGUGCGCCUCUCCCACAAAAUGUAAUCUAGUGGCCAUACUGUUUGACGAUUGGUUAUAUGUACCUAUGUUCAUUGUUAUGUCUAA